AAAGAGACAGGCUACCUGUCCACUGUUCUGUGUGUGCGAUAUACACGCGGCAGAUGCUUGGGGACAACAGACGGACGGCACCGUGCGGACAACAACAGUCCACUGACAUGUAAAUCCUAUACUGGAUAUUUGUUUCAAAUCUUUCA
ensembl:ncRNA Y42H9B.10 ncRNA